rnacentral:rRNA from 1 species
AACGCGAAGAACCUUACCCAGGCUUGACAUGCAGUGGAAUUUAGCAGAAAUGUUAAAGCUCUUCGGAGCCGCUGCACAGGUGCUGCAUGGCUGUCGUCAGCUCGUGCCGUGAGGUGUUGGGUUAAGUCCCGCAACGAGCGCAACCCUUAUCAUUAGUUGCCAACACGUGAAGGUGGGAACUCUAAUGAGACUGCCCGGGUUAACCGGGAGGAAGGUGAGGAUGACGUCAAGUCCGCAUGGCCCUUAUGUCUGGGGCUACACACGUGCUACAAUGGUCGGUACAGAAGGCAGCGAAACCGCGAGGUGAAGCAAAUCCCGAAAGCCGAUCCCAGUUCAGAUUGUAGUCUGCAACUCGACUACAUGAAGAUGGAAUUGCUAGUAAUGGCGAGUCAGCAACAUCGCCGUGAAUACGUUCCCGGGCCUUGUACACACCGGAGUGC